rnacentral:rRNA from 1 species
GACGAACGCUGGCGGCGCGCCUAACACAUGCAAGUCGAACGAGCGAGCGAGAGCUUGCUUUCUCAAGCGAGUGGCGAACGGGUGAGUAACGCGUGAGGAACCUGCCUCAAAGAGGGGGACAACAGUUGGAAACGACUGCUAAUACCGCAUAAGCUCACGACCCGGCAUCGGGUCGAGGGAAAAGGAGCAAUCCGCUUUGAGAUGGCCACGCGUCCGAUUAGCUAGUUGGAGAGGUAACGGCCCACCAAGGCGACGAUCGGUAGCCGGACUGAGAGGUUGAGCGGCCACAUUGGGACUGAGACACGGCCCGGACUCCUACGGGAGGCAGCAGUGGGUAAUAGUGCACAAUGGGGGAAACCCUGAUGCAGCGACGCCGCGUGGAGGAAGAAGGUCUUCGGAUUGUAAACUCCUGUUGUGGAGGAAGAUAAUGACGGUACUCAACAAGAAAGUGACGGCUAACUACGUG